AUUGAACGCUGGCGGCAGGCCUAACACAUGCAAGUCGAGCGAGCGGCGGACGGGUGAGUAAUGUAUGGGGACUGCCCGAUAGAGGGGGAUAACUACUGGAAACGGUUGCUAAUACCGCAUACUAUCGGAUAAUCCAUCUGGGAUUAGCUAGUAGGUGAGGUAAUGGCUCACCUAGGCGACGAUCCCUAGCUGGGCUGAGAGGAUGAGCAGCCGGACUGGGACUGAGACACGGCCCAUAGUCCUAGGGCAGCAGCAGUGGGGAAUAGUGCACAAGGGGCGCAAGCCUGAUGCAGCCAUGCCGCGUGUAUGAAGAAGGCCCUAGGGGUGUAAAGUACGUUCAGUCGGGAGGCGUUACCGACAGAAGAAGCGACGGCUAAGUCCGUGCCAGCAGCCGCGGUAAUUC
rnacentral:rRNA from 1 species